rnacentral:rRNA from 1 species
GGCGUAAAGAGCUCGUAGGUGGUUUGUCGCGUUGUUCGUGAAAUCUCACGGCUUAACUGUGAGCGUGCGGGCGAUACGGGCAGACUAGAGUACUGCAGGGGAGACUGGAAUUCCUGGUGUAGCGGUGGAAUGCGCAGAUAUCAGGAGGAACACCGGUGGCGAAGGCGGGUCUCUGGGCAGUAACUGACGCUGAGGAGCGAAAGCGUGGGAAGCGAACAGGAUUAGAUACCCUGGUAGUCCACGCCGUAAACGGUGGGUACUAGGUGUGGGUUUCCUUCCUUGGGAUCCGUGCCGUAGCUAACGCAUUAAGUACCCCGCCUGGGGAGUACG